rnacentral:lncRNA from 1 species
ACGGCCCCACAGGCCCAGAGCUGGGCUCUGCCCAUCAUGGGGCUGCUUCCUGUUCCCCAAACACUGGCCACAAUGUGAGGUCAGCCCAAAGGCGUAGAGCCAAGAAAACUCAGCCUCCAAGACACGGAACAUAUUUUCCUGGGUCAGAAGCAGCAGUCAAACCUGGUCUAUUUAUGCCGAAGCCCAAGUGCAGGUGCUCAGAGGAGAGAGCAGAGCUGUGAGGAGGGAUAGAUAUUAUGCUGUGGUGCAGCCAGACAAGCCCCACCUUGUUGUGCCUCCAGAAGAAGCACAUUCUUGGCCUGGGUGGUAACAAUAACAUCUGGAUGGAAAUAUCAAGUGGUAUCAGGCUUCCAGACCACCAUUCAUGAAAGAGCUAACCUUACAUAUGCUUGAUCAAAUGACGAAAAGCUUCAGCCAGAAACAGUUUUGCCUGGGUUCUGAAUCUUCCCUGAGCUCUUAAAUUCUACCCAGUGAGCAUCUAGGUUAAAACCUGGAUAAAACCUGGAUAAAAGAUUAAAAAACUCAACCAAGUUUCCAA